rnacentral:misc_RNA from 1 species
CAGAGUUUCUAAAACUCCCUGUAAACCCUUGUGAAUCUACCUGUACGUCGUUGCUUCGGCGGGUAGCCCCGUGUAGGGGCCCUCGCCUCCUUUAUUGGAGGUGCCCGCCGGAGGACCACAACCUUAAACUCUUGAAUUUCAAUGGAAUCUCUGAGUAACAUACCAAAAUAAGUUA